CUCCAGACUCCUACGGGAGGCAGCAGUGGGGGAUAUUGCACAAUGGGGGGAACCCUGAUGCAGCGACGCCGCGUGGGUGAAGGAGCGUUUCGGCGCGUAAAGCCCUCUCGGCAGGGAAGAAGGAGGACGGUACCUGACUAAGAAGCCCCGGCUAACUACGUGCCAGCAGCCGCGGUAAUACGUAGGGGGCAAGCGUUAUCCGGCUUUACUGGGUGUAAAGGGGGCGCGGACGGCAGGGCAAGCCACGAGUGAAAGCGCGGGGCCCAGCCCCGGGACUGCUCUUGGAACUGCGCGGCUGGAGUGCAGGAGGGGCAGGCGGAAUUCCUAGUGUAGCGGUGAAAUGCGUAGAUAUUAGGAGGAACACCAGUGGCGAAGGCGGCCUACUGGACGGUGACUGACGCUGAGGCUCGAAAGCGUGGGGAGCAAACAGGAUUAGAUACCCUAGUAA
rnacentral:rRNA from 1 species